rnacentral:pre_miRNA from 1 species
CCGGAGAAUCGGUGAAGCUCAGGAGGGAUAGCGCCGUUUCAAACCUUUCUUUUUUUUGGAGGUGGCGCUAUCCAUCCUGAGUUUCAUGGCUUCUUCGU